rnacentral:lncRNA from 1 species
GAGUCAUCACAGCCCAGGCUUCUUCCACAAACACAGCUGGGGAGGGCUGCUUAAUGCAGUGUCCAUUAAGGUUAACGGGCACUUCCAAUAGGGUUUUUUCACGUUUCCCUUGACCAAGUUCAACUCACACUUCAUCCAGACAGCACUUCUCCUUCCUGCCGCCAUGUGAAGAAAGAUGUGCUUGCUUCCCCUUCUGCUAUGAUCAUAAGUUUCUUGAGGCCUCCCCAGCCCUGCAGAACAUCUCACUCUGUUGCCCAGCCUGGAUUGCAGUGACAUGAUCACAGCUCACUACAACCUCAACCUCCCUGGGAUCAAGCUAUCCUCCCAUCUUAGCUUCCCAAGUCAUUGGGACUACAGGGAAUGUGCCGCUGUGCCCAGCCAAACUGGAUCUUCAGUAUGUUUAUGUAACUUUCCGGGAGCAGAGUGUUUUCAGCUUUGGAGCUUCAAUCGAACUUUUGAGACAAGAAGAGGAAAGACAAGAAAAGUGUCUUCUUCACAAUUUUAUUAUUUUGGUGUCAAAGAUUCCAGUUGAUUAUCCCUUUCUAUCUCCAAAGUCUGGCAAACCCUACUUACCUCCCCAACUGCUUUCGAAAGCAUAAACAAAAUAAAAUAACAUCAUCAAAGAUUCCAGAAGAUUGGGAAAGGUGUGGAAGGUAGUGAUUAAAGUAUAGUUGUAAGGGCCCUUUGACAUCAAUUUUAUUCUCUCAGGGGGCUUAAAGUGUUUCUUUUCUGCUUCCUUUACUACAAAGAUAUUUCACUCAAACUCUAUCUUGUUAUAGACUCUUGAAAACUGGGGAUAUGGUUUCUAGCCUUGUAAUUUGUGUAAUAAAAUGUCAGUCAUAAAAACCACUGGGAAUCUGGGACAUUUGUAAUGAUUGGGCUGUCGUUAAAAUACAUGAUUGCUCAAAGGUAUGGCUUAACCCAGGAAAACACAAACCACAAUAAAAGGUCACAUGGAAGAUACAGGCAUGGGCAGGCAUCACUUGGUGGCAAGCAACAGAAAUCCCUUAAGAAAGCGCGAGUGAAAAGCAAUUUAUUUCAGGGGACUCUGAUGGUAUUUUGAAGAAGGUAUAACUCCUGGAACUGGAAAGCUUUGAGAUACUUAUCUCUCUCUCUCUCUCUGUCUCUGCCUCUCUCUUUCUCUCUGCCUCUCUCUGUCUCUCUCCCUCACGAAUCUCCCAUAGUAUUGGGUGUAAUCUUCACCUAUUCCAAAAUGUAGUAAGCACCUUAGUUUACAUGGCUUUCCAAGUCUUGCACCUGUGGCUAAAUAACUACAGUGUUGGUGUCUGAAUUCAACUUCCUGUGAAGGAGACCCUUGAGUGCCUACCCUUCAUCAGGUGUUCAUCAGUAGGAUGGGGGAAGGGUCCCAUGGCUCCCGAUGUCUUUAACAGGACUCUGGGCAUGGAUUUGGGCAGUUAAUUAGACAGAGCAGCUAAAUCAAGUGACAUAUUUUCCUUUAAUUGCUCCUAACUAGAAUAAGAGGAUGAUUUGUGUCCUGAUUUUUAUGAACUUUUGCAUUCUUUCUCAAGUUCUAAAUUCAUUGAGUAAAUCCUUCAGAACAUUUGACCUUGUAUUAUGGGUUUUGUGGUUUAAAUUUCCCAUGAAGUUAAUUAUACCAUGGACAGUAUUGGGGUGAAAGUAUAGUCCCUAAGAUCAUGUUUAAAAUGUUUUGUCUCAGAAUUUUAAUACCCCUUUUGGCCUGUAAACACUUUGUAGCACCAUGAUAAGCAAAGACAGUAUUUGAUGCAGGUCAGUUUUAAGUGGGAGAAGGAGGAGUCUCUUUAAUUUAGAGAGGCUUAAUAAAGGACAUUUCACUGAACAAUUGGUUAUAACAAUUGAGUUUUCUAGAGGUUUUUUUUUUUUUGGCCUUCCCUCAAGUUGUGUUGUGUACUGUGCAAGAAUACGAAUAGGCAAGAGCGAGUGGAGACGGCCUGUAAUAGGCUUCCAGUUAAGCUCUUAAUUUACGCUGGUUGUCUUUAUCGGCCAACGCUCCCACGUCGUUAUCUGUGAGAGAAUGGAGAAGAAAAAAUGGCAUUCUAUUUUUUGCACCCUCUUCUCCUUGUGAUCUUACAUCUUCACUUAAAAGCAAUCAGGUGCGCAGGUGAAGAGAUAGGAAAAAAAGGGCUUUUAAUAGCUUUUGAUAUCAAGAUUCCAUCUUCCUCCUUAACGGCUAGCCCACACUUCUGUGAUGUCUGGUGAUGUUUUCAGUUCCACCUUUUGUGUUUUAAGAAUUGCACUUUUAAAAUUAAAAAUGCCUUAAGGAAGGACAGCAGGGUAUCUGGAGGUGGCGUAAAUAGAGAUGAAUGCUCUUCAAAAUCCACCUGAUUUAUUCUGUCAGUCAAUUGCAAUAUAGUUAUCUUCCAACACUAGCCUUAGGUUUCAGGGUACACAAGUCUAGGAUAAAGUGGUCUCUGUAAAGAGCAUCCACAGGAAGCAUGCUGCCCACUUGGCAAUGCAAGGUGGUUAUUUGUUUGACUAUACCAUGCUGUCCUUCUCCUUCCAAGGGGCCUUCGGAUAGGCUGAUGCUAUGGAGUUGGAAUCUUAAGCUGGAGGAUGAGCCAAUCAAAGUCAUAAAGGGAAGCCAUAUGUCACACACUUGGAAGUCCAUGUGUAGACAUCAAGUUGAGAGUGUCAGAGGCAAGGUCAAGACCAGGAUCUUAGCACCAAGGUUAGAGUGGCAGAAAUCAAGACUAAAGUAAGUGGAAAAAAUACGUGGAAGUGGCAGAGGAUGGUGCCUGAAGAGGUAGGAUAGGAGAGGACUCCGAGUGUAAGUGUUGUGAGAGAACAUUAUAGAUGAGCGGUGCUCAGCUGCAGUGUCCUAGCCAUGUGGGCCUCUGACUCCUGGCAGCAAACGGGAUGGCGGAUGCAGCUGUUGAGAAUGCCCUGCAGAGUAGCCAAGACAUUGAUAGGGUCUUCCGUGCAAGGAUAAGAUGACUCUUCCUUACACUGCCCCACAGCAGUUGGUUUGUAAGAAAAAAUUCCCCAAGAUUUUAAGUCCUGGGUAUGCAUGGAUACCUACAGCUCUGACAUAAAGCCAUAUGACUCUUCUACAGAAAGAUGAGAAAUUGGCUGAUGAUGCCACUGUGGUGGUCACUGGAGGCACCUGUGGUCAAAGGGCAUGUGCAUAUCUCUGCUUUGACCUUUAUUCCUUGGCAGAGCAGAGGAAACUUCUGCUCACAAAGUUGUGUGUGUCCUGCUUCAACAUCACAAUUUAAGGGGAAAAAAAUGGCAUAAUUUUGUCUGAGUCUUGAGGAGGGACUCUGGGAACUAUGGGUGUUUAUUAAUAUGCUUGACUCCUCAUUUCAUGAAUAGGGUGGGGCAGGAGUGGUGACUGGCCCAGGCAUAGGACAAGUGAAUGACUGGGACCAACAAUUGAUUCUAUGAGACUAGCCCUACCCAAAAAAGAAUAGCGAAACAAGAAGGCAGGCCAAAUCAGAGACACCAUAGGAACGCCAAGGGUCUGACAGCAGGGAUAUCACACAUGUACACCAAGUGAAGAGGGCCUGAGAAAUGACUAGAUUAGGAACCAGAUCAGUGCCAAAGUCAGUAAGAGACAAGGAAGGAAGUGAGUAGUAUGAUGGUGUGGGGAAGCAGAGAGAUGUGCUAUCAAUUGCCAAAAUAAUCAGGAAUAUAAUUUAUUUAUUCAAUAUAUCAUUCAGUUUUUCAAGGAGUCUUCAUUCAUUCAUUCAACAAAUAUUCAAGUUUCUAAAAUGUUCUAAGUUCUAAGCCUAAAUAUUGGUAUGCAAUACUACCAGGACCCAGACACCAACAUGGUGCGGUAGUUCUAUGACUUGAAAGAGCAUUAUGAGAACGUAUGGGGAGGGCACCAAAGGAGAAAAGAGAAGCCUUCCUAUUGGCAGAGAAAGCUGAGUUGAGGUUUAGGGACAAGUAGCAGUUAAGUAGAGAACGCUCAUUUGGGGCAAAGGCCAGGUGGCAAGCAUGCCAACAGUACUUUGGGGAAGCCAUAUGGCAUCAGACUGGUUGGGACAUACAGUGAUAGGUGGGGCAUGGCAAGGCAUGAAGGUUUCAAUAAAAGCAAGGGCCAUAACUUGAUGGGCCUCCUAAGUCAUGGUAAGGACUUUGGACUUUAUUCUAAUAGCCGUGGAGAGCUACUAGAAGGGCUUUUAGCAAGAGAAACUCAAUUUGAGCUGUGCUGGGAAAGAUCACUCAGGCUACAGGUUGCAUAAUUUAGGGCUGAGACCAGAAUGAGCUGGCCUGGAAGGUGGCUGUUGAAAAACAGAUGGGAGAGAGAUUUGGUUGUCAAAAUGACGGGGCUUGAUUAUUGGCCAGAGACUUGAGGAAGAUGGAGGAAGCCAAAACAAGUUCUACGUUUCUGGAUUGGAUAACGAGGUGGAUGGUAUAGUUAUUUGUCUGUUAGUGGAACUAAGAGGAGAAUUGGGUUGUGGAGGGAGGACAAUGAACUCAAUUUUGGAUAUGUCUGAGGGUUGGGGGGUGGCAGGGGGAUGCCCUGCUUUUGCACUAAUCCAGUGCCUGUCUGGGUGGGUGGGAGAGGCUGUUUAUAGCACCAAGCACAGGCUCAUUAUCAGUUAACAGCCAUGGCUUAGUUUUCUCCCUGGUAUAGAAGAGGAUCUGGACUGAGGAUGCAAGGAAUUUGGGCUGGAAUAUGCCAGAGAAGUAAACCUUGAGUUAGAAUCAAGACGUGUGGUAACAAGAUUUAGCUUCUGAAUGCAGAGACAAACAAACACAAAUCGAAAUAUCUCAGUGUAAAAAAAAAAAAAAAAAAUCACAGAAUUUCACUUGCACCAAUGGUUUUGUUUUACAAAUUCCUUGACAUGCUUCUGUAAGAAAGCAAUUGCUUUGUUGCUGUUUUCAGGGGGCGCUUCCUGCAGGGCACACCUAGAAAAUGGUGUGUUUCACAAAAGAUAUGCCAUCUCCCGGGGCUCUGAUUUUCUUCUCCUCGGGUCAGUAUUUCACUCUUGUCAGGAUAUUGCCUGAUGCCUGCCUGUCUCAAACCCCAGAGGAGAGCCAUCUGUUGAGCUGUGGAAUGUUCUCAGCCACAAGUCCUACAUCAUUAUUCUAGCCAGGUCAUGCUGUUGCUUGCAGAAUUUUUUAUAGAUAGAGGCUCAGCUUAUGUUCUGAAUUAGACGCUCUCAUCUGCCUGUGGCAAAUUGCGGCAUGUGCUAGUGGAAACUCCCUCUUGGGUGGUGCUUGAAAUAUUUGGGAUAUUAUCUGGUUAGACAUUCUACUACUCCUUUUAAACAACUCUUUCUCCAUUCAAUCUUUGAAAGCCAAAGUGUGUGUGUGUGUGUGCGCGCGCAUGUGUGUGUGUGUGUGUGUGUUUGUUUUGGAUUAUUUCAUACCAAAAGCAUUUUCCAUUUUCUUAUUAGGAACUUUCUCUUUGUCCAAAAGGAGAAAAAGAAAAAAAAAAAACUUGUAGAGAACACACUAAGUUUUUUUUUACAAAAUGGCCUGUUUAUACUUUAAAGGUUGUAUUACGGCAUAACAGAUUUGUAAUUUUAAACUUUUAAAGAGGGAACAGUUUUGAAUUUAGCCUAGUAUUAGUGAUGUCACUAAGGAAUACUUCCAUUUAAUAGCUUUGAGUGAAAUAAAUGCUCCAGCUUCAAGGAAAAAACAGCUAAAGGUAAAUGGGGUGGCUAAAGGGAGAAACAUAUUACAGAGGCAGUUAUGCAGGUUCAUGCUACAAGUGCUGAGCCAUUCUUAUCUUUUCUUCUUGCUCUGAAUGGAUUAGGAGGAUUCUAUUCCUUGAGUUGGGUGAUAGGAAUUAUUACCCUAUCAAAGAACAGGUGGGAAGGGCUGAGCAUGCUGGCUGGUUGGGAAAGUCUACAGACAUUGGGAAUUUCCUUUCCUCUGGUGAAGUUCACUGCAGAAGAAAAGCUUUAGGAAUUUUAACAUGCCAUGAGGUUGAAAAUUCUGGAAGGUUUUAGCUACAAGAGAUUGAGGUGGAGCUAUACUCAAUCCUGGAGACAGAAGUGGAGUUAAAUCAAGUAGCCACUGAUGAAAGUCCUUCAAAGGUUCUUCAUCAUCCUCUGGAUAAAGCCCAACCUUCUUAAGAUCGUGUAUGGAAUUUUCAUGAUUUGGCCCUGAUAAUGUUUCCAGCCUUAUUUUCUUGCCAUCCUUAUCCAUCUUUAAUACCUGGUACCAUGUCAUUCUUCCCAAUGUUUAUCCUCAGCUUUUCAAAUAAAGCAUACUGUUGUCAAAGAAAGAAUAUAACUAAAUAUAAACAAGCUAUUCUCUGUAUCUCAAUUACAAAUUUCUUGAAAUAAAUGAACAAAUCUGACAUAAAACCAAAUUUGCUUCCUAUUGAACUUGGAAAAUGUGUUUCUGAAACAAAUAUGACUUGGAUAAAUAAAUGACCUUUCUGCCUUUUCCAAGGUCAUGUGGUAGUUUGGUGAUGAAGCACACCUCUCUUUUAUUAUCUGUAAAAUAGGUAUAUUACAAUUUACUAAAUAUGGCUGUUGAGAGAAUAAAAUGAGAUCAUUCUUUUAAAGGACUACUGAUGGUACCUGCUGUAUAGUUGGUACUAAAUCGUGACCACUAUAUUAAUCUAAAGGACUGACUCAGCCCCUUCCAAUGGGUGAUGCUUCUAGAAAUAAGCAUGAGCCCACAAUGCUCUGACUUCCUUACUGUGCUUCUGAAUGAUUCCUCUGUGUGUGUGUUUAUGUGCUCACACCCACGCCCUCGCCGAAUAGCAUGGCCUAUACAUCACACGGAGAUUGUUUUCCAAAAGCCUGUUCCAUUAUAAUCUACAUUUCCAUCAACCUUCUAUUGACUUUGCCAUGCAGUUCAGAUCAUCACUUAGCUAUUACUGACACCUUUGAGCACAUCUGCUGAGAACUGUGCUUGGAGGGGUUGCACAUUUUGAGGGUGUGUGCAUAAUGAUAUAAGGUUCUAAAUAAUAAAUUAAAAGAUAGUUUACAGCCCUCAUUAUAGCCAUCUGUGUUAACUUCCCAUUACAAAUUAGAAUAUCCAUUUUGACACAAGUUUAAUUUUUCCAAAACACCUGUUCUAAAAGGCAAUGUACUUUUUACAUAAUGGAAAUGGCAACACUUUGAAAAUAUUACACUUUACUGGAAAGUCAGUUAUGUUCCAGAAUAAAUGUUUUCCAUGGCGGGCGGGGUGGGUAGUUCUCAUACGUAAUGAAGACCAUCAAUCACCAAACAAAAACCCCUCAUCACGUAUAAAGAACUCACCCACAGAUUUCCUUUUCUUUCUCUUUCAUUAAUACCUUUAAAAAUCAGCAAUAAGUUCCUUUGGUUUUCUUCUCAUAUUUUACAAAAAUCAUUGUAGAAGCAGAGGUGUGAUCAGUUAACAACUGUUGACUUCUGAAAAAAACAACAAAGCUUCCAUCUUAAAGCAUCCACAGAAAUGGAAGCAAUUUCCAUUACAACCUUGUGGAUUAGGCAGCUUAUUUGUACAAUCCAUUUUCCUUCAUGUUGUCUACUCAUUUCAUAAAUAAUUCUGUCUGUGUGGUUGUGCAAUAUACUGAUAUUUCACUAAUUUUUCUGUUAAUCCAAAUAGCAUCAGGCAUUGAAUGGUGUAGGCAUUUUUGGAAACUGACUUCAGUACAGACUAAAGAGAAUUCUGGAUUACAAUGGCUGUGCCAUUUUCUAGGCAUCAUUUACUGGAACUGGGUAGCAAAACAAAAAACCAGUGUUUCCUUAAAAUAAGACAAUUGGCAAGGCCUGUCACAAGAAGUGAAAAGAUUUCUCUUCCUUCUUGGUUUCCUUUUAACUAUCUCUAUAAAACAAAGGAAUUGCCAGAAACCUUUGGAUGCUUCCUCUGUCUUCAUGAAAAGGACUACUUAAUUGAAGUUACCGACCUUCUUUCCUUUUGCAUUCAAAGAUCACCUCUACCCCCUUGGAGAGAUGUCAGGGGAAAGAUUUCUGCCUUCCAGGAGCCUUAGAGAAUUAUGAUCAUCCGUCUCCAUGUAUAAUAUACUCUCCUUUGAGUACAUUAAAAAGCCGUAACAUGCAAAACAUACACUGUAUGUUCUUUACUACUUUUCAGAUAUAGGUUCUUUGAAGGCAUGAUGGGUAGGUUCAGUGGUGGAUGCAGGAGGGCUGGAUUUUAAUAUAUUUCUGAGCAAUUCUAAGAUUCUGUGAUGUCACUUGCAUGAUCUAAGUUAUUGCUCUGAACAUCACUUCUAUGGGCUGACUGCCAACUACAUUCUUAUGUUUAUUUCUGCACUGUUCCUUACUCAGGCAGUUUCUCAUCCCUUUUAUGCCCUCCUCCUCAAAAGUGGAAAGGCCUGGAGGGGAGAGGGAGCCUGUCAUUUUGGGAGGAACACAAUAAUUGGCUGUGAUCUGGAUUUCACAUUGUUGAGUUGAGAGGUGUGAGUGAGAAGAGAUUGGAAAUCAUGGAGAGUCAUAUCAACUUUGCAACUGAAUUUGAACUUGAUCCUAAGGACAAGGAGGUGCCAAUGAGCAUUUUACAGACUAGCCAUAUGGUAAGAUUUUAGUUUUAGAAACAUUACUGUUAAUUCUGGGUAGUGGGAAUAUGAGUGUUCAUUUUACCAUUCUUUGUACCUUUCUGCAUUUUCAAAAGUCUGACUCAAAUGGAACUAAACAAAUACAGCUCUUCCUGGCUACAGAGUUGAGAACAGAUUAGAAGAGAUGUGACACAUACGUCAGCUGGAAAUUUGUGACAGUAAUUUAGACAGGGGACAAUUAUGUGUUAAUCAAGGCAGUGCCUCAGUAGGAAUGGAAAUACACAAAUGGAUUGAGGCACAUGUCAGAGGUAGAGUUGGAACUGGACAUGAAGGGGAGCGAAGGAAGUGAGUGUCAUUGGGUUUCUGGAAGGUCAACUGGGUGAGUGAUAAUGGUCCACACAGGGACACACAGGGAAGAUGAUUAUGUCUGCUUGGGACAGUUGGAAGUGCCUGAGAGUCAUCUUAGUAGAGGUGCCCUACAGGAAGUUAGAUGUUUUAAUCUAGAGCUUGGGAGAAAGUUUGGGAGUGCAGAUUUAGAUUUAGGCAUUGUCAGUUUGUAGAAGCCAUAGGAAUAGGUGAGAUUACUGAGAGAAUAUAAAAGAGUAAAAAUAGGAAGUUUGAGGCAUGAAACUCUGAGAGACAUCUAUAGGUAUCAGGAUGUUAGAAGAAGGAGACUAACAAGUGGAUGAAGAACUUGUUUUACAAGGGAAAAUGUCACCAAUUGUGGCAAAAAGGUCAAGUGAGAUAAUUCUGAAAAAUCUUUUUUUUUUCUUUUUUUGAGACUGAGUCUCCAGCCUAGGCUGGAGUAGCCCCAUCUCGGCUCACUGCAACCUCCACCUCCCAGAUUCAAACAAUUCUCAUGCCUCAACUUCCAAGUAGCAUGGUGUGCCACCAUGCCUGGCUAAUUUUUUUGUAUUUUUAGUAGAGAUGGGGUUUCACCAUGUUGCUCAGGCUGGUCUCGAACUCCUGAGCUCAGGUGAUCCUCCCACCUCGGCCUCCCAGAGUGCUAGGAUUAUAGGCAUGAGCCACCAUGCCAAGCCUGAAAAAUCAUCUUUGAUUAAAUUUAGCAAUAAUGACAUUUUUGAGAAGAGCAAUGGUGGUGGAAUGGCAAGGGAAGAAGGCAGAUUGCAAAGUUUAAAAAAAUCAAAUAAUAAUAACAAUAGCUACAUUUUUGAGAGCUUAUUUUGUGCCAGACACUGUGCUAAGCUCUUUAUCAAUAUUGUCAUAUUUUAUAUUCACAGCAAUCCAAUAAGUAGAACUAAUAUUCAUUUCACUUUACUUGAGAAAACUGAGAUGUAGAGAAAUUAAAUACUAUGGCCCCCAAUCACACAAAUCAGAUGGGGGAAGAAUGACUCUGACUCAAGUCUACUUUAAUCCAUAAUUCCUAAUCUUAUUAGAGAGAAGAGAGGGACAAUGAGUGUCCACCUGCUUUCAACAGUGAGGGUCUGAGGUUUGAGGGAAGGCAAGAGAGAACCAGAGGGGCUAGCCCAGGAAGAAGAGGGGUUUUGUCUGUCUGCUUGUUUGUUUUCAAGAUGGGAUAACCUGAAGUAUAUUAAGUAUUGAUGGAGAAGAACUGGUAGAAAAGAUCUGGAGAGAGAAGGAAGGACUGACCCACAGGAUAGGUUUCCUGAGGAGGUAGCACAGGAUGGAAUGGGGUCCUGAGCAUGCACUAAUGUUCUCACCAUAGCGAUCACAAUAGUGGGGAUCCCACAUUGGGGAACCGGGCAGUAGAUGGGUGAGGGAGGUCUUGCCUUAUGGCUUCCAUUUUCACUGUGAAGGAGGAGGUGAGGAGCUUUUGUCAGUAAAGAGGGUGAUGCCCAGGUAGAAGCUUUGCUGAGCAUGAAGUUGCCUGUGUGGAGGAGGGGAGAGUGCUGACCAGAGAAAUGCAGAAAGACUCCAAGGAGCAUGUAAGGCCCAGUGGAGGCUGAAGGCCACAACUUUGUAAUGAAGCUAAUCUAGGGCAGAAAGGAGGAGAGAAAGGCACAGUCUGUGCUUGAUACUUAGGAAGAAUGUAUUGAAUCAUGC